rnacentral:rRNA from 1 species
GUCUAUGGCCAUACCACCCUGGAAGUGCCUGAUCUUUGCCUGAUCUCAUCUGAUCUUGGCAGCUAAGCAGGGUCAGUCCUGGUUAGUACUGGCAAAAAGAUGAAGCUUAAGUGGUUGAACAACUGCUUCCCAUAUACA